CACAACGCCACCCACGCAUAGUGC
rnacentral:siRNA from 1 species